rnacentral:rRNA from 1 species
GCGUAAUAGCUCACUGGUCGAGAGGUCCUGCGCCGAAAAUGUCCGGGGCUGAAACGCGCCACCGAAACUAAGGAAUCCGUAAGGAUUGGUAGAGGAGCAUUGCAUAUGGGAAGAAGCAGUACCGUAAGGAGCUGUGGACUAUAUGGAAGAGAGAAUGCCGGAAUGAGUAGCGAGAUAGAGGUGGGAAUCCUCUAGGCCGAAUAUCCAAGGUUUCCAGGGUAAAGCUGAUCUGCCCUGGGUGAGUCGGGACCUAAGGUGAGGGCGAGAGCCGUAGCCGAUGGACAACAGGUUGAUAUUCCUGUACUGCAGUAUAACAGAACUGUGGGGACACGUAAGGAGAGCGGGAGCCGGGAAUGGAAAGCCCGGUACAAGCGAGGUACCAGUAUGGUAGGAAAAUCCGCCAUGCAAUGGGAAGACGUGAUGUGGAGUGAAAUAUAGUAACGAAGCCCGUGAGCCAUGCGUCAAGAAAAGCCGCUAUUGUUUAUAUUGUACCCGUACCGUAAACCGACACAGGUGGAUGAGGAGAGAAUCCUAAGGCCGGCGGAAGAAGCAUUGUCAAGGAACUCGGCAAAAUGGCCCCGUAACUUAGGGAUAAGGGGUGCCUGGGAAACCAGGCCGCAGAGAAUAGGCUCAAGCAACUGUUUAGCAAAAACACAGGUCUAUGCGAAACCGAAAGGUGAGGUAUAUGGGCUGACGCCUGCCCGGUGCUGGAAGGUUAAGAGGAGAGGUUAGAGCAAUCGAAGCUUUGAAUUUAAGCCCCAGUAAACGGCGGCCGUAACUAUAACGGUCCUAAGGUAGCGAAAUUCCUUGUCGGGUAAGUUCCGACCCGCACGAAAGGCGUAAUGAUUUGAGCGCUGUCUCGGCAAUACAUCCGGUGAAAUUGAAGUGCCAGUGAAGAUGCUGGCUACCCGCGCCAGGACGGAAAGACCCCAUGGAGCUUUACUCCAGUUUGGCACUGGGGUCCGGUGUUGCAUGUACAGGAUAGGUGGGAGGCUGAGAGAUAGUGACGUCAGUUGCUAUGGAGCCGCUGUUGGGAUACCACCCUUGUGAUAUUGGGCUUCUAACCAGCCGCCGUAAUCCGGCGGUGGGACAAUGCCAGGCGGGGAGUUUGACUGGGGCGGUCGCCUCCGAAAGGGUAUCGGAGGCGCCCAAAGG